UCGAUGAAGAACGCAGCGAAAUGCGAUAAGUAAUGUGAAUUGCAGAAUUCAGUGAAUCAUCGAAUCUUUGAACGCACAUUGCGCCUGCCUGUUCGAGCGUCAUUUCAACCCUCAAGCUCUGCUUGGUGUUGGGGCCCUACGGUUGACGUAGGCCCUCAAAGGUAGUGGCGGACCCUCCCGGAGCCUCCUUUGCGUAGUAACUAACGUCUCGCAUCGGGAUCCGGAGCGCCAGCAUUCUGGCGGGCAGGACUCUUGCCGUAAAACCCCCCAAUUUUUCAAUGGUUGACCUCGGAUCAGGUAGGAAUACCCGCUGAACUUAAGCAUAUCAAUAAGCGGAGGAA
rnacentral:rRNA from 1 species